ACGAACCGUCCGAACGUUGUUCGGAAUCACUGGGCUUAAAGGGCGCGUAGGCGGGCCACCAAGUCCGGGGUGAAAUCCUCCAGCUCAACUGGAGAACUGCCUCGGAUACUGGAGGUCUCGAGGAUGAUAGGGGCAUGCGGAACUGUAGGUGGAGCGGUGAAAUGCGUUGAUAUCUACAGGAACUCCGGUGGCGAAGGCGGCAUGCUGGAUCAUUUCUGACGCUGAGGCGCGAAAGCCAGGGGAGCGAACGGGAUUAGAUACCCCGGUAGUCCUGGCCCUAAACGUUGGGUACUAGGUAGCAGGCUUUACAUGGGCUUGCUUCCGAAGCAAAAGUGUUAAGUACCCCGCCUGGGGAGUAUGGUCGCAAGGCUG
rnacentral:rRNA from 1 species